GACCUACAUGUGACGAAGUUUUUAAGGUUAUGUCAUCCACUCCUUCCUUGGCCCAAGAGAAACAUAAUCACGAAAAGCUACGCUAGCUUGGACACGUUUCGCCCAACCAUUGAUUGGAACAAAAGCAAACCAUGAAAGUCACUUUUUUCUAUCACCGUUGCUGAAACAACCUUAGCUUUGAAAGAUACACACGCCUCAACAACCCUUCGAAGCAAACAGCAUUUUUAAGAUUCCGCCGUUAACAUGUCGAACGCCAAAGAUAAGAGAAAGCAUGGCGAAGAUUCUGUCUUUCUGAAGAGCCAGAAGAAGACUCGGGAGGAUGUGACAGAUGAGGAGGUGGAAGAGUUCUACGCUAUUCUCCGGCGUAUAAAUACGGCGAUGAAAUACUACAAGAGUGGCCGUGAUAACGUGGCAUCUUUGGAGAAAGAGAUCAGGCAGGAACUGAAAGGAGCAACAAUGAGUGGGAGUGAGAAGGAAGAGAAUGUUGAACUGAAUUUGAAUUUCAGUUUGGAUCUAAAUCUCAUUUCCAAAUCCCAACGUGAGUAGUGUUGUUAGUCUAAUAUUCUUUACAUCUAUCUUACCAGGUUGCUCUAUUUUCUUCUUCUUUCUUUUCAAUAGUAUUUAACAUUUUAUAAUUCAAUAAUGAUGGGAGUGUAAGUUUAAAAAACUUACUUCAUAUCUUACUCAUCAAUACUUAUAAAUUUAAUGGUUUGGAUCUACUUAUUAAUUUAAAUUAUUAAAUUUCCAAAACAUUGAUAGUUAAGAGGUAGAUUGAAGUAAAUAAAUCCCUUCUCUUCAAUCAUUACUGCUCCAUUUUGUUUAGUUGCAAACUUAGUUACAAUGUAUUAAGAUAUAAUUAAAGUGAUUUCCUAGCUCUUAAUUUGUUGACUUAAAAACUGGGCAUUGAAG
rnacentral:lncRNA from 1 species